rnacentral:rRNA from 1 species
AUUGAACGCUGGCGGCAUGCUUUACACAUGCAAGUCGGACGAGUGGCGAAAGGGUGAGUAACAUAUCGGAACGUACCGAGUAAUGGGGGAUAACUAAUCGAAAGAUUAGCUCAUACCGCAUAUUAUUCGAGCGGCCGAUAUCUGAUUAGCGGGUGGGUGGGGUAAAGGCCUACCAAGGCGACGAGCAGUAGAGGGUCUGAGAGGAUAGUCAGCCACAAUGGGACGGAGACACGGCCCAGACUCCUACGUGAGGCAGCAGUGGGGAAUUUUUGACAAGGGGCGCAAGCCUGAUCCAGCCAUGCCGCGUGUCUGUAGAAGGCCUUCGGGUUGUACAGGACUUUUGUCAGGGAAGCGGUACCUGAAGAAUAAGCACCGGCUAACUACGUGCCAGCAGCCGCGGUAAUUC